AAGACCAGAGGAUAGAAACAUUAAGCUGCUAUCACCCAUGGUUAGGAGAUACAGGUUCUUUGGCUUGCCUGUCUGGUCUU
rnacentral:ncRNA from 1 species